GGGGCCGACUGGGGAAGGGGCCGGGAAGAGCUGAGGGCGCACUAGGCGCCGCGCAGAGGCGCCUUUGAGUCGGCAGCCGCGGAGCCAGCGCACGGGCAUCGGCGGGACCCGGCGGACGGAAAGGCGGAGUGGGGGUCUUUGGACUGCACGACUAUAAUUUCAUGUGUGUGAAAUUCAAGGGGAAAAAGGAAACAAUACAUAAUCCAGUCUGUAGCUUCUCAUGGAUCGUGCAAAGCACCACCAGGACAGACAUCUCAAGCACAUUUGAAGAGCUCCUGUUUCCUAAGUAAGACAGCAGCAGCAAGACUGCAAUCAUUUCUGGGAAGGCAGUAUCAUCAUAAUGCAAUAUUAGCUACUGUGAUCUUCUAUCAUUUCCUUCCUGGAGAGUUAUGACUGUGGCAUUGAAGAUUUAAGACCUACAGCCUCAACACUACUUACUACAAAUCUCUCACAAAGCUGCUGCAAUAAAUCUCGUGGAGGAAAGUCAUUGCAUAAAAAAAUCCUCAACUCCAGGGAGUUGGCCAUUUAUUUUCCUAGAAAAGGGGCUGUGAUGAGAGACACUCCAUGCUCCUUUAACUCCAUGGAACAGAACCCAACAAAACAUUCAUCAUGGAAAGUUGACUGAUGGGCCCAGUGAGACUAGCUGGGGAAGGAAGAUGGAAAGAGAAGUGCCCCAUCCAAGGCCUGCUCCUUUUCCUAGCUGCAGCCCGGAGGGAUUUCCUCUUAGCUUGAGGAUUGACUUUCCAUAGAAUCAGCACCACUGAGGGUAAGCUUCCCUGAAGACAAACUCUGUCAUUGGAGAGCUCAGCCAGGGGUCUAAAACUGGACCCUAUGGACUCCACAGAUUUAUUUAGUCUGCACAGUGUUUAAAAAUGUUUUUAGUUAGGGCCAGGCAUGGUGGCUCCCACCUGUAAUCCCAGCACUUUGAG
rnacentral:lncRNA from 1 species